CCUGACCUUCCCUGUGAUCAGCAGCAGACCGAGGCCACUGGGACACCUGACCUCCAGCAGUGACACUGUCUUGGGCAAGCAGCACCCAGACACCGGCACACUGGCAGCUGUGCCUGCACCCAGAGGACCCACCCACGGUCAUCCCGUCUGACCCACCCGGCAGCAGCCGGAGCCUGCACCCUGUGCACUCGUCCCUCCCAUGACUACUCAGGAAUUGAGGCAAGAGCAAGACAAGGAGGAGCACGGGCUGCCCUGCAGCAGGCGAGGGCUCCGUCCUGUUCCCUCUCUGUCUUCUCCACGCCCGGUGCACAGACAGCACCUGGGAUGCGUCAGUCAUAGGACCCUGACCCUUCUCAACCCUCUGUGGGCUCCUCCAGGCAGGAUCCCCAGCCGCAACUGUUACCAGGAUGCUAAAUGGAAAUGCAUAGACUGUUCCAAAGCACCUCAGCCCCCGGGGCUAAGACCGUCCUGCAGGAGCAUCCCAAGAGAGAUGCCAGUGAUGAGCCGGGAGAAAAUGCAGCUUGCUUUGUGAGUGCCACAUCUGUGCCCUGAGUCCUGCAUGGUUGCAACGGAUCCCAUUUUGGAGGAGCUUAGUGCUGGGUACUUGUACAGCUGAUGGUUUCACCAUGUGAACAGGAUUUCCUGUUGUACAGGUCUAUGGGAUUAAUUCCUACCAGUCACCACAGUAAACCACCAACAAAAGCAGAUGGGAACUUCAGUCCAUUCAGAGACAUCUAACAUCCCAAACUCCACGUCUCCCAGAACUCAGUCUUUGGUUAACUGUGGUAUAAAGAAAGAUCCUACAGUUAGGAGUUGAAAGAAAAAUCAAAUUUCUACCACCACCUCGUUGUGCUGACCUGGGGAAGG
rnacentral:lncRNA from 1 species